GAGACAGCAGUAGCCGCGGUAAUACGUAGGUCCCGAGCGUUGUCCGGAUUUAUUGGGCGUAUAGCGAGCGCAGGCGGUUAGAUAAGUCUGAAGUUAAAGGCUGUGGCUUAACCAUAGUACGCUUUGGAAACUGUUUAACUUGAGUGCAAGAGGGGAGAGUGGAAUUCCAUGUGUAGCGGUGAAAUGCGUAGAUAUAUGGAGGAACACCGGUGGCGAAAGCGGCUCUCUGGCUUGUAACUGACGCUGAGGCUCGAAAGCGUGGGGAGCAAACAGGAUUAGAUACCCCGGUAGUCCCUGUCUCUUAUACA
rnacentral:rRNA from 1 species